rnacentral:hammerhead_ribozyme from 1 species
ACACUGCUGAGGAGUGCCAUACUAGGACGAAACGGCCGUCCAGUGC